rnacentral:rRNA from 1 species
GAUGAACGCUGGCGGCGUGCCUAAUACAUGCAAGUCGAGCGAACGGACGAGAAGCUUGCUUCUCUGAUGUUAGCGGCGGACGGGUGAGUAACACGUGGAUAACCUACCUAUAAGACUGGGAUAACUUCGGGAAACCGGAGCUAAUACCGGAUAAUAUUUUGAACCGCAUGGUUCAAAAGUGAAAGACGGUCUUGCUGUCACUUAUAGAUGGAUCCGCGCUGCAUUAGCUAGUUGGUAAGGUAACGGCUUACCAAGGCAACGAUGCAUAGCCGACCUGAGAGGGGGAGCGGCCAGCGUGGAAGUGGGACACGGUCCAGAGUACUGAGGGAGGCAGCAGUGUGGAAUCUUCCGCAAUGGUCGUGAGUCUGACGGAGUCACGCCGCGUGAGUGAUGAAGGUCUUCGGAUCGUAAAACUCUGUUACUAGGGAAGAACAUAUGUGUAAGGAACUGUGCACAUCUUGACGGUACCUAAUCAGAAAGCCACGGCUAACUACGUG